AAAAAAAUUCACAAUUUUUUUUGUUUCAAAGCCACAUAUCUGUGGGCAUUACACAGAAAAAAAUUAUAAAAAUUCAUAUUUUAGUUGUGUCUCAAUAAUGACUAUGUUAUUAGAAUUACAUUGGAAGAUAUUUUUACCGGAAAAACAACAUUAAUAAAGGGAGUUAUCGAAGACCCAUGGCUCGUGCAAGAAAAGUUCACGACCAGUCAUUUGCACUGCCCCUGCAGCUAUAUCCUCUGCACGCUUUCUUGCGACUUCAGCCUUUCUAGCUAAUGCAUCCGCGUCCUUUUGGCGCUUCCAUGAGAGAAAUUGCGUUUCUGUAAUGCGAUUUGAAUUAGGGUUUUGAAUUGAUUCUGCUUCACCAUCUUUUGCUUCUUCUCCCAUUUCCCCCCCAAAUCCCAAUAUUUU
rnacentral:misc_RNA from 1 species